rnacentral:lncRNA from 1 species
UUUUGACAGAAAGGAGUAAGAAUUCUCAUAAAUCCAUUAAGAAGUUAACCUAAAAAAGAAGAAGGCAAGAAGAUUUCAAUUUUAUAGUUGUGAAUAAAUAUGUAAAAAAAUAGAAGUCAAUCCCAAAAAGGCAAGAGCAGUAAAAGUAACGAUUCAUAUCUCUAAAAUGCAAUAACAAUAACAGUAAACUUUUAUUUUCCUUUUCCACGGCAAAAUUGUAGUUGUUCACAUUAAAUACUUAAAUUUUAUAAAAGAUAAAUAAAUACAUAAUCCUAAAACUACUAAAAAAAGUGGGCCUUGAAAUUUAUGGGGCCUAAAGCCCUUGCAUUACCUACCUUGGGGUUCAGCCGCCUAAGGAUGGAUCUUCCUUGGACAUGGAUCAUGCCCUAAGUAAUUAUACUUGAAGAUAGAUUUUUUCCAUAGGGAUGGAAUGGCCUUCCUCGGUAUUUGAUGACUACGAUCAGUAAUGUAUAUAUAUUUUGGGAUGGAUCUUCCCUGGGCCGAAUGGCCAUAUACAGUAGCGAGUGGGUAAGAACUUAUGGUAGAGGUACACAAAAUAUUGUUCAUGCUAUAUGUGCCUCGGUACAUAGAGAUCCUAAUCUUUAUACUCUAUACUGUUUAUAUUGUAUUUAUCUACUGUUGAGCUUUUACUUGAACUACAAGCAUGUCUACUUUUCCGUACAAUUUAUUUGUAUUACCUGUUGAGGUUUGAUUCGUCACUACCUGUCAGUCCAUAGUUUGGAUUUGUUACUUACUGAGGUGGUGUACUCACGUUCCCCCUACACCUUGUGUGCAGAUCCAAGUAUCUAGGCCAUAGUAGCCGUUGUUGAUCUUAUCAGUUGUAGACAUUCUUUGGAGUGAGCGAGGUAGCCUCAUGGCAAUCGCAGCUCUGCCUUUAAAUUCUCCUUUCUUAUCUCCCUCAUAGUGUAUUUGUUGGAUAUUCUUAGUCUAUGUUUGCCACACCUCCUUUUUCACUAUGCCCGCAAGGGCUUAAAUGAGUUUUUCCAGAAAAAGGACAAUCGGAAUGUGAUUUAAUUAUUGAAGCUCUGAGUCGCCACUUGAGAGAUUAAUGGUGUCCCAAGUCACCGGUUGAAUCCCGAACCGAGGAAAAAUAUGACUCUGUUAACAGUCCGCGAACCAGAAAUCCGAGUAAGGAAUUUUGUUAACCCGAAAGAAGGUGUUAGGCAUUUUCGAGUUCCGUGCUUCUAGCACGGUUGAACUAUCAUAUUUGGUUUUGUCUGAUUUCAAAACCUGUUCUAACUUAUGUGGUUUUAAAUUAUAAACCGCUUUUAUAUCUAUUUUUAAUGAGAAUUGCAACGUCGCAAAAAUACAUAUUGAACCACGUGACAUCAAUUGCACCGGUGGUUGUUGAUACAUUUCGACUCCGUUGAGAUUUGGAUUUGGGUCACAUAAAUGUGCACCCGAAUUUUAAAAAAAUAAUUUUAUUAAAGGCAUGCCUAAAGAGACUAACGCGUUAUUAUUUUGGGAAGAGACGUGAAAUUCACUAAAUGGCCCCUCCCGGAUUCUAAGUAUUUUAAUUAAGCAGAAUGAGGGCCCCACAUUUUACGCUUUUGUUUGACAAAGCUCGUCUUAUUUAUUUUAUUUAAUACCAAUCCUAAAGUGACUAUGACUUUUCUAUUUACUUGUCUCAAAACAAAUAAAGAAAAGGGCCGUAACUAAUUUGCAUCAGCAGCCCAAUGCUUAUGAGAAAGGCUGCCUCAAAAAUGUGGGCCUACGGGACACUCAGCAGGCCCAAUGCAAGAAAUUGCUGGACCCAAAAGAAGGCCCAACUUUAACUCUUGUAACCACAUACCAAAAACUUGUGUUCGAGUCUGACAGAAGCAAUAAGAUUCAUACGAAUACGAGCACCCCAGCGAUUUUACAAUGUAUCUUACUUCAAGCAAUAACAAACGAUAUAUGCUUAACACUGAUUUCUCUUUAGAUCUUUUGUUUCAGCAAUUCACAAGUAUUGGCAGCCAAUUAUCCUAUUUAUCUAUAUAUUAAUAAAGUGACAAUUGAACUGAAUAAUAAACUAGUUAAUUGACUUAACAGUUUUGCACCCUUAUUCUAAACUUCUAAACACCCAGUAUCGUGAUUCAUGAAAAGAAUGAACCUUGUGCCUAACUCAACCCCAAAAGCUAGCUUAUGAGGUGAGGAUUGCCUAAGCCAUAUAAGGAGNNNNNNNNNNNNNNNNNNNNNNNNNNNNNNNNNNNNNNNNNNNNNNNNNNNNNNNNNNNNNNNNNNNNNNNNNNNNNNNNNNNNNNNNNNNNNNNNNNNNNNNNNNNNNNNNNNCUACCAUGAUAAGAAUGGACAUUGGGCCUAACUCAACCUCAAAAGCUAGCUUUUGGGGUUGAGUUAGGCCCAAGGUUCAUUCUUUUCAUGGUAUCAGAGUCAGGCCCAUCCAAAUUAUUGUUACCGAUGUUGGGCCCCCAUUUAUGUUGUCCACGCUCCAGAGAUCUGGGCGUGAGGGGGGUGUUGAGUUGUCCCACAUCGGCGGGCUUNNNNNNNNNNNNNNNNNNNNNNNNNNNNNNNNNNNGAGGGGGUGUUGAGUUGUCCCACAUCGGAGGGAUUUGAGGUCUUUGGUCUCCUUAUAUGGCUUGGGCAAUCCUCACCUCGUAAGCUAGCUUUUGUGGUUGAGUUAGGCCAAGGUUCAUUAUUUUCAAUUUAUUAUAUUAAUUCAAAUCCUGUUUACUAAAACUGAUGCCAAAUACGCAAAUGAUGGGCCUGUUUUUAUAAUUACAAACUAACCAGAAUCAACUACUGAACUUACAACCAAUAAAACUAGCUGAAUCGAUUCUAUAUCUAUUGAAAUGAAUUACAGAAACUGAAUUAAGCUAUGCUAUAAUGCUGAAUGAGUUAGUAAGCUAAAACAGUCCAUACAAAUCAUAUAAUCCAAAUAUUUGUCUAACAAACAACAAAUACUAAACAUUAUUUCAAUUAGCAACUAUCAGAUGAUAAGACAAUCGAAAAUGAACUCGAAUCCAGCAGGUGCUUCUAUUUCCACUCAACUCAAAUUUACAUCAGGGUGAUUUAAAGGUGUACCUGGUAAAGCGAAAUAGAAGAAGAAGAGGAGAUCAGAAGCAAUACUCACAGCAGUAGUUCAGAGAUCAAUUUAAAUCCCAGCAGCAAUUAAUGAGUGAGUAACAAAGGUCCAACAAAGAUUUAGAAACCCAAAGGUGCUUGAAAAUCACACAGAAUGAUCAUAUCUACUCAAAACCAUCUCAAAUUAGCCCAAACCCACUCAAAAACAACUCAGUAAACCCCAGAAACUUCAGAAAUCAGAACUUAAACAUAGAAAAAUGCAAAUCAGCAACUGAAAAGCUGAAAUUCACCUAAAAGUUUAAUGGAACAGUAAAUGUUUUUGGAUUUUUGGAAGUUUAUGUUGUUUUUUUUUUUGUUUUCUACAUGAAGAAAGCUAAGAUCUAAGAGCAUUUUCUAAUCCGAAUUAGAAUUUCAGACCUCUAGAGCUUUAAAGAGAUUUUUUUGGGGGUGGGGGGUAUUGG